GGGAAGGUGGCUCAGUGGUAGAGUGCUUGCCUUGCAUGCAUGAGGCUGGGUUCAAUUCCUCAGUACCA
rfam:Dipodomys ordii contig_13009, whole genome shotgun sequence.